AGGUCUGCAGGAAGGGCCUGCCUCCACUCAUGCAGGUACCUGGGAUCACCUGUCCAUUGGCUACACUGCCCUUUAGGGCCUCCAAAUCCCCAGCUGAAUUAUUCCCAUCCAUCUAGUAGGAAAGGAAAAAAGAAUGUUGAAGGAUCAUGCAAAAUGUUUUAGGGGCCAGUCCUGGACGUAAAAUAUGUUACAUUGGCUAGAAUGCUGUUACACAUUGCCACCUAUUUCAAGAGAUGCUGAGAUUUGGAGUCUUCUUGGGUGCCCAGAGAUUUGAGUAUCACCUAGCACUGUUUCUGCUUCAGGGAAAUGGAAGUAGAACUCUGAAGCUAAAUCAGAGGACUCCAAGCAAAUGAAGUGACUGAAAGCAAGAAUGGCUCAUUGCCCUUGAGCUACACAGAAAUGUAUAGGUGGGUGUAUUGGGUCGGUUCCCUGGAAGCACAACCUCAGAUGGGGAUUCUUGUGCAAAAGAUACACGGAGGAAGAGCUCAAGGAAGUAACUUGCAAUGAAGCAAGGGGAGCAAGCUGGAGCAGGAGAAAAGAUCAGGCAAAGGCAUGCUUUCAGAAGUCUAGCCUCGGCCUCAUCCACAGGGAGCUCCAGAGAGUGAAUGGUACCAUGCAGCUGGUCAACCUUCUUGGAGGAGGGAGCUGCUGAUAGCCUUCAGUAGACAGCACUUGCACUAGCCAAGGGAUGAGUGCACCAGCCCAGUGGAGGGGAUCUGGGUAGAGCACCUAUGCCAUCUGCUAUAAUAGGAAGGACAUGCUUUUCCUUUUCGUAUCCUCUACCUGAAGCAAUAUAUCACGUACUCAGCAGACGCUCAAUAAGUGUUUGAGAAAUGAAGAAACAAAAAGACAGAGGGAAGGAGAGAAGAAAAGAAACAAGAUUACAGAAAAUUCUAAAAUACUCUUGGGCUCCAAGAAAUGCAUCUUCAAAUAAGGAACUUCACAUACUUAUGCUGAGCAAUGAGAGAGAUAUUUUGAGUGCCCUUUCCAGAUCUGUUCACCAGUUCCGUGCAUCCUCAGCUGCUAUGUGGUCCAUGUGCUCUGAACUCAUGCCUGCGACAUUCUCUGGAGGAUUACUAUUGAGCAACUGGAGCCACCUCACCUGCAAGGAGUUUACAAUCCCCCUGAGCCAUCCCAUAGUCAACGAAUGACUUGUGAAGGAAGGACAGACUCUCAAUUCUCAGGUAGAACAAACUGGUGGUGCCAUUCACACGCCAGAGCUCCUUGCAGGAUCAGGCUGAAGCUACACUUUACCCAAAAUCUCAUCUUUUUUAUGCUUCUUCUCAUUUCCUGCCCUGUUCCUCUCCUUCCCUCCCUUUCUUCUGAGAGCACUCCCUCAAUAAAUAACUUUUCCCCAAA
ensembl:lncRNA novel transcript